rnacentral:rRNA from 1 species
UACAGAGGGGGCAAGCGUUAUUCGGAAUUAUUGGGCGUAAAGGGCGCGUAGGCGGCCUUCUAAGUCGAACGUGAAAUCCCCGGGCUCAACCCGGGAACUGCGUCCGAUACUGGGAGGCUUGAAUCCGGGAGAGGGAUGUGGAAUUCCAGGUGUAGCGGUGAAAUGCGUAGAUAUCUGGAGGAACACCGGUGGCGAAGGCGGCAUCCUGGACCGGUAUUGACGCUGAGGCGCGAAAGCCAGGGGAGCAAACGGG